CCAGACUCCUACGGGAGGCAGCAGUGGGGAAUAUUGGGCAAUGGGCGCAAGCCUGACCCAGCAACGCCGCGUGAAGGAAGAAGGCUUUCGGGUUGUAAACUUCUUUUGUCAGGGACGAAGCAAGUGACGGUACCUGACGAAUAAGCCACGGCUAACUACGUGCCAGCAGCCGCGGUCAUACGUAGGAUCCGAGCAUUAUCCGGAGUGACUGGGUGUAAAGAGUUGCGUAGGUGGCAUAGUAAGUAGCUAGUGAAAUCUGGUGGCUCAACCAUUCAGACUAUUAGCUAAACUGCUAAGCUCGAGACCGUUAGGGGUAACUGGAAUUUCUAGUGUAGGAGUGAAAUCCGUAGAUAUUAGAAGGAACACCGAUAGCGUAGGCAGGUUACUGGGACGGUUCUGACACUAAGGCACGAAAGCGUAGGGAGCAAACGGGAUUAGAUACCCGAGUA
rnacentral:rRNA from 1 species